UACAGAGGUCUCGAGCGUUGUUCGGAUUCAUUGGGCGUAAAGGGUGCGUAGGUGGCUAGGUAAGUCGGGUGUGAAAUUUCGGAGCUUAACUCCGAAACUGCAUUCGAUACUGCUGUGCUUGAGGACUGGAGAGGAGACUGGAAUUUACGGUGUAGCAGUGAAAUGCGUAGAGAUCGUAAGGAAGACCAGUGGCGAAGGCGGGUCUCUGGACAGUUCCUGACACUGAGGCACGAAGGCCAGGGGAGCAAACGGG
rnacentral:rRNA from 1 species